AGUGAACGCUGGCGGUAGGCCUAACACAUGCAAGUCGAACGGCAGCACAGUAAGAGCUUGCUCUUACGGGUGGCGAGUGGCGGACGGGUGAGGAAUACAUCGGAAUCUACUUUUUCGUGGGGGAUAACGUAGGGAAACUUACGCUAAUACCGCAUACGACCUACGGGUGAAAGCAGGGGAUCUUCUGACCUUGCGCGAUUGAAUGAGCCGAUUUCGGAUUAGCUAGUUGGCGGGGUAAAGGCCCACCAAGGCGACGAUCCGUAGCUGGUCUGAGAGGAUGAUCAGCCACACUGGAACUGAGACACGGUCCAGACUCCUACGGGAGGCAGCAGUGGGGAAUAUUGGACAAUGGGCGCAAGCAUGAUCCAGCCAUACCGCGUGGGUGAAGAAGGCCUUCGGGUUGUAAAGCCCUUUUGUUGGGAAAGAAAAGCAGCAGGUUAAUACCCCGCUGUUCUGACGGUACCCAAAGAAUAAGCACCGGCUAACUUCGUG
rnacentral:rRNA from 1 species